CGGAUUUGAAGGCGCUUUGUGAAUCCCUCGGCUCAACCGNGGAACUGCUUGGCGAACCACAAAUCUUGAGGCUGGUAGAGGUGGUCGGAACAAUAGGUGGAGCGGUGNAAUGCGUAGAUAUCUAUUGGAACACCGAAGGUGAAGACAGGCCACUGGGCCAGUCCUGACGCUGAGGCACGAAAGCGUGGGUAGCAAACGGGAUUAGAUACCCCGGUAGUCCACGCCGUAAACGAUGCGCACUUGGUCGAGGGGGUUGAACGCCUUCUCGGCCGUAGGAAAACUGAUUAGUGCGCCGCCUGGGGAGUACGGUCGCAAGAUUAAAACUCAAAGGAAUUGACGGGGGCUCACACAAGCGGUGGAGCAUGUGGCUUAAUUCGAAGCAACGCGAAGAACCUUAUCCUAGGCUUGACAUGCACGGAUUAACCUCCUGAAAGGGAGGCAACACUCGCAAGAGUGGAACGUGCACAGGUGCUGCAUGGCUGUCGUCAGCUCGUGCUGUGAAGUGUCGGGUUAAGUCCCUCAACGAGCGCAACCCCUGUCACUAGUUGCAAACAGGUAAUGCUGUGGACUCUAGUGAGACUGCCGGUGUCAAACCGGAGGAAGGUGGGGAUGACGUCAAGUCCUCAUGGCCCUUAUGCCUAGGUCUGCACACUUGCUACAAUGGCACCGACAGAACGAUCCGAGACCGCAAGGUGUAUGAAAUCUCUCAAAAGAUACCCCAGUU
rnacentral:rRNA from 1 species